UAACAUACAAUUGUAAUGAGUAGAGUCAAAAUGUUACACAAUUGUUUAACACAAUCAAAUCUAAUUGAUGUGUUUGUUAAUAAGGUCAUCUUCUACUGCCAGUCACAACUAUCUGAAAAAACUGUACGGGAUCCUACUUAUCCUUUAGAAAUAGAACAUUAUAUCCCACUACUACAUUCUCAUUCUUCCACAAAUUAUACAAGAGAGUAGACCCUACAAUACAGUAUUCUGAAACAACAUACAUAUUGAUAACACUUUACAAUAAACUUGAACUGCUAUUACAUUCAAAGAGACGCAUACCCAUUAAUAUUUAUGACACAUAGUAAACAUAAGAUACAUUUGACCACCUCUGCCUUAGGCAAUGCAGAGUUCAAGAGAAGAUUUUGCAAGCUAGAGCAAUCCCGGAUCAUUUCUUCUCAACACCAAGUAUGCCUCUGCUUUUUCAAUUUCAUCCAACACAACAUCCUCACAGAAUCCAAUUGACAAAAUGGAAACACAAAGCUCCACACGCUUAUGCACUAUUUCACCAGACAACCUCAAAAUGUUGAUCCAUUGAAACCAAAGAACGAGGGCU
rnacentral:lncRNA from 1 species